UACGUAGGCAGCGAGCGUUGUUCGGAGUUACUGGGCGUAAAGAGUGCGUAGGCGGUUGGCUGUGUCUGGUGUGAAAUCUCCCGGCUUAACUGGGAGGGUGCGCCGGAAACUGGCUGGCUCGAGUAUGGGAGAGGAAAGCGGAAUUCCUGGUGUAGCGGUGAAAUGCGUAGAUAUCAGGAGGAACACCUGCGGUGUAGACGGCUUUCUGGACCAUCACUGACGCUGAGGCACGAAAGCGUGGGGAGCAAACAGG
rnacentral:rRNA from 1 species